rnacentral:rRNA from 1 species
AUUGAACGCUGGCGGCAGGCCUAACACUUGCAAGUCGAGCGGCAGCGGGAAAGUAGCUUGCUACUUUUGCCGGCGAGCGGCGGACGGGUGAGUAAUGCCUGGGGAUCUGCCCAGUCGAGGGGGAUAACUACUGGAAACGGUAGCUAAUACCGCAUACGCCCUACGGGGGAAAGCAGGGGACCUUCGGGCCUUGCGCGAUUGGAUGAACCCAGGUGGGAUUAGCUAGUUGGUGAGGUAAUGGCUCACCAAGGCGACGAUCCCUAGCUGGUCUGAGAGGAUGAUCAGCCACACUGGAACUGAGACCCGGUCCAGACUCCUACGGGAGGCAGCAGUGGGGAAUAUUGCACAAUGGGGGAAACCCUGAUGCAGCCAUGCCGCGUGUGUGAAGAAGGCCUUCGGGUUGUAAAGCACUUUCAGCGAGGAGGAAAGGUUGAUGCCUAAUACGUAUCAACUGUGACGUUACUCGCAGAAGAAGCACCGGCUAACUCCGUGCCAGCAGCCGCGGUAACAC